rnacentral:rRNA from 1 species
GGGCCCGCACAAGCGGUGGAGCAUGUGGUUUAAUUCGACGCAACGCGAAGAACCUUACCAGGUCUUGACAUAUGAGUAAAGGCUUUAGAGAUAGAGAGAUAGAUAUACUCAAUACAGGUGGUGCAUGGUUGUCGUCAGCUCGUGUCGUGAGAUGUUGGGUUAAGUCCCGCAACGAGCGCAACCCUUGUCUUUAGUUACCAGCAUGUAAUGAUGGGGACUCUAAAGAGACAGCCGUUAAGAAGACGGAGGAAGGCGGGGAUGACGUCAAAUCAUCAUGCCCUAUAUGACCUGGGCUACACACGUGCUACAAUGGUCGGUACAGAGUGAAGCGAAGCCGUAAGGUGGAGCAAAACACAAAAAGCCGAUCUCAGUUCGGAUUGUAGUCUGCAACUCGACUACAUGAAGUUGGAAUCGCUAGUAAUCGCAAAUCAAGCAACGUUG